rnacentral:pre_miRNA from 1 species
CUUACACUACCUCUGUCUGGAAAUACUUGUCCUAGGGAUGAAUGUAUCUAGACUUAUUUUAAUUAUAGAUAAAUUCAUUAUAUGCAUUUUUAGGACAAGUAUUUUUGGACGGAGAGAGUAGUAG